rnacentral:rRNA from 1 species
GACGUAGGGCGCGAGCGUUGUCCGGAUUUAUUGGGCGUAAAGAGCUCGUAGGCGGCUUGUCGCGUCGAAUGUGAAAACCCGAGGCUCAACUUCGGGCUUGCAUUCGAUACGGGCAGGCUAGAGUUCGGUAGGGGAGACUGGAAUUCCUGGUGUAGCGGUGAAAUGCGCAGAUAUCAGGAGGAACACCGGUGGCGAAGGCGGCUUGCUGGGCCUUACCUGACGCUGAGGAGCGAAAGCGUGGGGAGCGAACAGG